rnacentral:rRNA from 1 species
CGAGUUUUUGACGGGUUGUAGCUGGUCUCUCUUCGGGACAUGUGCACGCCUGGCUCAAUCCACUCUUCAAACCAUUGUGCACUUAUUGUAGGUCGGUUGGAAAGGUUUUGGUUCAGUAAAAUGAAUCAAGGCUCGGAAGACCUUCCUAUGUUUUUACUACAAACGCUUCAGUCACAGAAUGUCAUUUACUUGCGUAUAACGCAUCUAUAUACAACUUUCAGCAACGGAUCUCUUGGCUCUCGCAUCGAUGAAGAACGCAGCGAAAUGCGAUAAGUAAUGUGAAUUGCAGAAUUCAGUGAAUCAUCGAAUCUUUGAACGCACCUUGCGCUCCCUGGUAUUCCGGGGAGCAUGCCUGUUUGAGUAUCAUGGAAUUCUCAACCUUCAAUACUUUUUUGUAUUCGAAGGCUUGGACUUGGAGGCUUGUGCUGGCUGCUCGUUCAGUCGGCUCCUCUGAAAUGAAUUAGCGUGAAUCACUAUGGAUCGCUUCAGUGUGAUAAUUAUCUGCGCUGUAGUCGUGAAGUAUUAAUAAGUUCGCGCUUCUAAUCGUCCUUUCACUAGGACAAUUAACUAUGAACUUUUGAUCUCAAAUCAGGUAGGACUACCCGCUGAACUUAAGCAUAUCAAUAAGCGGAGGAAAAGAAACUAACAAGGAUUCCCCUAGUAACUGCGAGUGAAGCGGGAAAAGCUCAAAUUUAAAAUCUGGUAGUCUUUGGCUGCCCGAGUUGUAAUCUGGAGAAGUGUUUUCCGCGUUGGACCGUGUACAAGUCUCUUGGAACAGAGCGUCAUAGAGGGUGAGAAUCCCGUCUUUGACACGGACUACCAAUGCUUUGUGAUACACUCUCAAAGAGUCGAGUUGUUUGGGAAUGCAGCUCAAAAUGGGUGGUAAAUUCCAUCUAAAGCUAAAUAUUGGCGAGAGACCGAUAGCGAACAAGUACCGUGAGGGAAAGAUGAAAAGCACUUUGGAAAGAGAGUUAAACAGUACGUGAAAUUGCUGAAAGGGAAACGCUUGAAGUCAGUCGCGUUGGCUAGUACUCAACCUGUCUUUUGACUGGUGCAUUUACUAGUUAACGGGCCAGCAUCAGUUUUGGCUGCGGGAUAAAGGCUAGAGAAAUGUGGCAUCUUCGGAUGUGUUAUAGUCUCUGGUCAUAUACCGUGGCUGGGACUGAGGAUCUCAGCACGCCUUCAUGGCGGGGGUUCGCCCA